rnacentral:lncRNA from 1 species
GUUUAGGAGAGAAAGGGGGGGGCUUCCCCUGUGCUCCCUGGGCUGUGCGGGGCCUGUGGGGGGGAUCGGGAUGCUCAGGGCUGCUCUGAAUGGGUGGGAGGGCACGUGGGGUGCUGGGGUCAUCACGGGGACCCCAUAGCACAGUGUGUGGGGUCUCUCCCUCUGCCAGCCCCCUCCUGCCAGGCUCAGCACCCCCCUUGCCGUGCCAGCCAGGUGCUUGGGGCUGGCCAAGCUUUGUAGGUGCAGCUGCACCCCAACCCAGCCUGGAAGGGGCCGGGGCAGCUCUAGGGCAUCCCCCAUGCUUGGGGCAGUGGGACAGGCACCAGCCCUGUGCCCGCUGCAGGCCCUGCUCCCCGCCUCCCCCCGGCUGUCCCCCGGUUUGGCAGCGGGGAAACUGAGGCACGGAGCCGUGCGUAGCCCCCGAGACCCUGCUCCUGCUCAGCUGGGGGCACCCAGAGCCCGAGCUGGGAGCUGGAGCUGGGCUCUGGGGGCUGGAGCCGAGCCCCGGUCCCGGCAGGUGGCGCCCGGCGCCCGCCGCUGGCGGCUGCUGAGCCCCGAGGGGACGGACCGGGACGGGGCGGGACGGGACGGGGAGGGAUGGGGAGGGAUGGGGAGGUCCGUGUGGGGUUGGCCUGGGCUGUACUGGCUGAUGCCGACCUGUGCUGGACCACUGUGGUCUAUUCUGGGCAGCGCUGAGCGCUGCCGGUCCGUUCCGGGCUGUACCGGGCCACGCAGGACAACGCGGGGCCGCACUUGGGCUGGCCUCACUGGUCCGUGCUGGUCCUGGACAGGGGCGAUGGCUCCCUGUGGGGCCAGGGAUGCAGCCAGGGACGCGUCCCCAGCCCCACGGCUCCUAGCGGUGCUGGCUGGGACCGAUCCUGCAGCCCUGACACCCCUGGGUGCUGAGCAGGGCACUGCCAGCCGCCCCCUGCAUGGGGCUGGGUCCAGUGGGACCGGGACGCUGCGGGGACAGGGGGUGGGGGGGGCGUGCUGGUGGGAGCUGCUCAUCCCAGGCUGUGCGGUGACACCUGUGACAAUGCUGCUGUCGUUCCGUGGUGCUCGUAGCCCUUUCUAGAAGGACUUCGGUGCUGGAGAGGCACAAACUGGGGGAGCUGCAAGUGGAGAGAGC